rnacentral:rRNA from 1 species
UACGUAGGGGCCGAGCGUUGUCCGGAGUUAUUGGGCGUAAAGCGCGCGCAGGCGGCUUCGCGCGCCCGACGUGAAAGCCCCCGGCUUAACCGGGGAGAGUCGUUGGGGACGGCGGGGCUUGAGGGCGGGAGAGGUCGGUGGAAUUCCCGGUGGUAGUGGUGAAAUGCGUAGAUAUCUGGAGGAACACCGGUGGCGAAGGCGGCAUCCUGGACCAACACUGACGCUGAGGAGCGAAAG